GACGUAGGGCGCGAGCGUUGUCCGGAUUUAUUGGGCGUAAAGAGCUCGUAGGCGGUUUGUCGCGUCUGCUGUGAAAACCCGAGGCUCAACCUCGGGCCUGCAGUGGGUACGGGCAGACUAGAGUGCGGUAGGGGAGAUUGGAAUUCCUGGUGUAGCGGUGGAAUGCGCAGAUAUCAGGAGGAACACCGAUGGCGAAGGCAGAUCUCUGGGCCACUACUGACGCUGAGAAGCGAAAGCAUGGGGAGCGAACAGG
rnacentral:rRNA from 1 species